CCAGAGAUGGAUUGGUGCCUUCGGGAACUCUGAGGACAGGUGCUGCAUGGCUGUCGUCAGCUCGUGUUGUGAAAUGUUGGGUUAAGUCCCGCAACGAGCGCAACCCUUAUCCUUUGUUGCCAGCGGUCCGGCCGGGAACUCAAAGGAGACUGCCAGUGAUAAACUGGAGGAAGGUGGGGAUGACGUCAAGUCAUCAUGGCCCUUACGAGUAGGGCUACACACGUGCUACAAUGGCGCAUACAAAGAGAAGCGACCUCGCGAGAGCAAGCGGACCUCAUAAAGUGCGUCGUAGUCCGGAUUGGAGUCUGCAACUCGACUCCAUGAAGUCGGAAUCGCUAGUAAUCGUGGAUCAGAAUGCCACGGUGAAUACGUUCCCGGGCCUUGUACACACCGCCCGUCACACCAUGGGAGUGGGUUGCAAAAGAAGUAGGUAGCUUAACCUUCGGGAGGGCGCUUACCACUUUGUGAUUCAUGACUGGGGUGAAGUCGUAACAAGGUAAGCGUAGAUGA
rnacentral:rRNA from 1 species